CCGUUUCCAAAAUAUAUACAAGCCCAAUCUUGUACUUGUCUUCCAUACGCACUUUGCGACUUUCAAUAGCUUCCUUCAAAUUGUACACCGUUAUGCCUUUCUUACACUUUUUAAAGUGUUUCUUCACCAAUCUAUCAUUAGACACAAUAUGGGGCUCCAACGAAAGCUCCUCACUAGCUCUCAACCCCUUUAUCAAUGAGAACUCGUAUAAUGAAAAUCAUGUUGGCUUACCUCCAAUUGAAAAUCAGAUCUCAUUUUGUUUUUUGGUUACAAUC
rnacentral:lncRNA from 1 species